GGGCGAGCUGCGCACCAUUGACCGUGUCCGUGCUUCUUUUUUCGUCUGCUCGUGGCCGCCGGUUGUUGCCGACCACGACCGCAGCGGGACGGUGUGGAGUGCGCGCGUCUUUUCUUUAUUGUUGCGCUACCGUCCACAUUUGUUGCUACGCAUUGUUGCAAGCAUUCGUAUCGCGUAUCUCUGCCGCGUUCGGCCUCGUAUUUGCCGCCGCUGCCGCCGCCGCCGCCGUCGCUCCCUUCUUCACCUUCUCCUGCGCCUCCGUAAAUCCGCGUAACAUCACAACGAGACUCACGAUCGCGCGAUCACUCUCUCUCUCUCUCUCUCUCUCUCUCUCUCUCUUUCUCUUUCCCGACUCGAAUCACAAUCGAGUGUAAUCGCCUUGGUAAAUGAUCUCGCGCAUCGCCAUUGUUCCGCGAUUGUCUCGGGCCCGACUUGCGAGGGAAAAAGAGCGCGGCAUUCGCGACGAGCCUGCGCUCAUUAACAUCCGCUCUUGGUCUCGGCGAAGCCGUCGUCGCGCCCUCGGAGACUCCCGCGACAAUCAAAAGACUCGGCUGUCGAAGUUACAAUGGUGCUACUCGUCUGGAGAUCGGUUGCAAGCAUCGCCGCCUCCUCGUCGACGCAGCGCGCGCGACGCAGCGGUCUUCUGUAGAUUUCCGCGAUUUCCCGUUUCCCGAGGCCUCGCUGUCUUUUAUGCAUCUCACGCGACGACGACGACGACGACGACGACGCUCAUCGCUCGGUAUCGGAUCGCCCGUCGCUGCUGAUCGCUCGUUAUUGCGCAACGCGCGACACGGCAGAUUAAAAGCGCGCACGGAGAGAAACGUAAGAGCGGGCCGGCCGACGACGAGACCAGGCUCGAGUGAAUUUAGAAAAGCACGUGCGGUUGCGGAACUGCUCACGCAUCGUAUGUAGCCGACGGCUGCCGGGCUGCGCAUCUUCCCGAUGGAUCCGAUCAUGCUAGGGCAUCUUCCUCGAAGAGAUCAGCUUUAAAGAUCCGUCCUUCCCUCCCUCCGUGCGCGUGCACUUGGCUAAGAGUGAAUGUAGAAUUGUGCGUCUUGUUGCGCGGACGAUACUUGGCUGAAAUCUGUCUCGGGAGACUCGCUAGACUUGGCAGAUCUGUUGUGGCGUGAAUGCACGCUUUGCACGGAGCUUUCUCCUCGUGAUCAGCCACGCAUUCACGAUCGGAUGCGCAUCGCAUGAUGUAACGUGAAGGCCCAAGCUAAGUGUACGCAUAACUAUCGCAUUUUUUCCGCUUGACUUUCACGAUACGCGAACCACUGCGAUAUGUUUUGGAUCAUUGCUGGGCCAUAUUCGACGAUGGCGAUGGGACUAUUCGUUAGAUACGCGGACGGCGCUUUUGUACGACAGAUUAAUAUAACGUAACAUUCGUGUUAUUCACAGGCAAAGAGAAAAAAGAGAGAGAGAGAGAGAGAGAGAGAGAGAGAGAG
rnacentral:misc_RNA from 1 species